UACGAAGGGUGCAAGCGUUGUUCGGAAUUACUGGGCGUAAAGGGCAUGUAGGCUGAUAAAUUAGUUAGGGGUGAAAUCCCGGGGCUCAACCUCGGAAUUGCCUUUAAUACGGUUUAUCUAGAGUGUUAGAGGGGAUAAUGGAAUACCCAGUGUAGAGGUGGAAUUCGUAGAUAUUGGGUAGAACACCAGUGGCGAAAGCGAUUAUCUGGCUAACAACUGACGCUGAGAUGCGAAAGCGUGGGGAUCAAAC
rnacentral:rRNA from 1 species